rnacentral:tmRNA from 1 species
GUAAAAAGCUGACCACAAUUUUAAGUGCCGAGGAUUCCCUCGCUCUGGCUGCCUAAGAGAAGGUAGCCCCGACUGCGUCUCUUAGCCGGAGAGGGGCAAAAGUCGGUUGUUAAAUCCGGACCGUCCCAAGUCAUGUCGAGCACGCUUGGGCCUAAAACUUGUUCUCGGCUGGUCGUUGCCGGAUUCCGUCGAUUGGAGCCGGCGCGGCGAGACCUAAUCAAUCGACUACGCGCGUAGAAGCCAUGGUGGAAACACCGCGGGACGCGGGUUCAAUUCCCGCCGCCUCCACUC